UACGGAGGGAGCUAGCGUUGUUCGGAAUUACUGGGCGUAAAGCGUGCGUAGGCGGUUACUCAAGUCAGAGGUGAAAGCCCGGGGCUCAACCCCGGAACUGCCUUUGAAACUAGGUAACUAGAAUCUUGGAGAGGUCAGUGGAAUUCCGAGUGUAGAGGUGAAAUUCGUAGAUAUUCGGAAGAACACCAGUGGCGAAGGCGACUGACUGGACAAGCAUUGACGCUGAGGCACGAAAGCGUGGGGAGCAAACAGG
rnacentral:rRNA from 1 species